UACGAAGGGGGCUAGCGUUGCUCGGAAUUACUGGGCGUAAAGGGCGCGUAGGCGGAUAUUUAAGUUAGAGGUGAAAGCCCAGGGCUCAACCCUGGAAUAGCCUUUAAUACUGGAUAUCUUGAGUUCGGGAGAGGUGAGUGGAACUCCGAGUGUAGAGGUGAAAUUCGUAGAUAUUCGGAAGAACACCAGUGGCGAAGGCGGCUCACUGGCCCGGUACUGACGCUGAGGUGCGAAAGCGUGGGGAGCAAACAGG
rnacentral:rRNA from 1 species